GACGAACGCUGGCGGCGUGCUUAACACAUGCAAGUCGAACGGAAAGGCCCUGCUUUUGUUGGGUGCUCGAGUGGCGAACGGGUGAGUAACACGUGAGUAACCUGCCCUUGACUUUGGGAUAACUUCAGGAAACUGUGGCUAAUACCGGAUAGGAGCUCCUGCUGCAUGGUGUUGGUUGGAAAGUUUCGGCGGUUGGGGAUGGACUCGCGGCUUAUCAGCUUGUUGGUGGGGUAGUGGCUUACAAAGGCUUUGACGGGUAGCCGGCCUGAGAGGGUGACAGGCCACAUUGGGACACAGAUACGGCCCAGACUCAUACGGGAGGCAGCAGCGGGGAAUAGUGCACAAUGGGCGGAAGCCUGAAGCAGCAACGCCGCGUGGGGGAUGACGGCCUUAGGGUUGUAAACCGCGUUCGCCUGUGACGAAGAGUGAGUGACGGUAAUGGGUAAAGAAGCAACGGCUAACUACGUG
rnacentral:rRNA from 1 species